GCUGUUGCUGGUGCUCAGCGCCGCGGGGAUGGGGGCCUCGGGCGCCCCGCAGCCCCCCAACAUCCUGCUCCUGCUCAUGGACGACAUGCACGUGUUUAGAGGCCAGCUCCUGCGAGCAUGCAGAUGCUGGUGUCAGGCUGGGAGGAGGCAGACGGAUACAUUCCCCACAUGAAGACCAAGCAGAAGUGGAGGCGAAAGCCAGCGUGGGCUGACUGUGGAGCGGCCCCAUCGUGCAUGCACGCAGGCAUUGGUGGGGUUUGGGCUGACCGUGGAGCGGCCCCAUCGUGCACGCACGCAGGCGAUGCUGGGAUGGGAUGGGGCGACCUCGGGGUGUAUGGAGAGCCCUCCAGAGAGACCCCGAAUUUGGACCGGAUGGCUGCAGAAGGGAUGCUUUUCCCAAACUUCUAUUCUGCCAACCCUCUGUGCUCGCCAUCGAGGGCGGCACUGCUCACAGGACGGCUACCCAUCCGCAAUGGCUUCUACACCACCAACGCCCACGCCAGAAACGCCUACACACCGCAGGAGAUCGUGGGCGGCAUCCCAGACUCGGAGCAGCUCCUGCCGGAGCUUCUGAAGAAGGCCGGCUACGUCAGCAAGAUCGUCGGCAAGUGGUGUCUCCAGCGUCCCUGUGCAGGCCAGCAUGACCUUGCCAGCAGGAUCUCAGGUCACCAGGCUGGGCCCACGGCCGCGAGUAUCCUGCGGCAUCAGACUCCGCAGGCCUGUCACCGUCGUCCCUCGAGUCACAGCCCCUAGCACCCACCACCACUGCCCCCCGGCUGCCUCCUGCCACGUCGUCCUUGGAGGGGCCACGUCAUUACACACAGGAGCCAUGGCGGAGGAGCUGCCUGUCCACCCUAGGGGCCUGUUGGAUGGUGAAAGCUCUGGUCUAAACCACAAAGAAGCCACCAGGAAAGAGAGGAACAGCCUGGCAGUUGAUGAAAUCCUGAGCUAAUGAGAGCUUGGGUGCUACACAGCCCCCAGGCUGCGGUUUCAGGCGCACGGGAUGUUUCAUUUCUUUUACUCCCUGGGACGCCUGAGUGAGCCUAGAGGGUUCGGUAGGAGUCACCUGUCCCGAAUUUCUCUCCACCUGUUGGAGCGUUCCCCGCCUGUCAGGUCCGCAUGCCUCCUC
rnacentral:sRNA from 1 species